rfam:Arabidopsis thaliana chromosome 5, complete sequence.
CCCUACGAUGAAAGUAGCAGGACAAUGGAACAUAUCCAUUGACUUUUUGUCGACUCCAAAUUUUGACCUUUAGUUAAGCGUGCUUGGGCGAGAGUAGUACUAGGAUGGGUGACCUCCCGAGAAGUCCUCGUGUUGUAUCCC